rnacentral:rRNA from 1 species
UGCAGUCGAACGCUGAACCGGUUUCGGCCGGGGAUGAGUGGCGAACGGGUGAGUAACACGUGGGUAAUCUGCCCUGUACUCUGGGAUAAGCCUGGGAAACUGGGUCUAAUACCGGAUACGACCCUUCGGAGGCAUCUGUCGGAGGGUGGAAAGAUCCGGCGGUAUGGGAUGAACCCGCGGCCUAUCAGCUUGUUGGUGGGGUAAUGGCCUACCAAGGCGACGACGGGUAGCCGGCCUGAGAGGGUGACCGGCCACACUGGGACUGAGACACGGCCCAGACUCCUACGGGAGGCAGCAGUGAGGAAUAUUGCACAAUGGGCGCAAGCCUGAUGCAGCGACGCCGCGUGAGGGAUGACGGCCUUCGGGUUGUAAACCUCUUUCGCCAGGGACGAAGCGCAAGUGACGGUACCUGGAUAAGAAGCACCGGCUAACUACGUGCCAGCAGCCGCGGUAAUACGUAGGGUGCGAGCGUUGUCCGGAAUUAUUGGGCGUAAAGAGCUCGUAGGCGGUUUGUCGCGUCGGCUGUGAAAUCUGGAGGCUUAACCUUCAGCGUGCAGUCGAUACGGGCAGACUUGAGUUCGGCAGGGGAGACUGGAAUUCCUGGUGUAGCGGUGAAAUGCGCAGAUAUCAGGAGGAACACCGGUGGCGAAGGCGGGUCUCUGGGCCGAUACUGACGCUGAGGAGCGAAAGCGUGGGGAGCGAACAGGAUUAGAUACCCUGGUAGUCCACGCUGUAAACGUUGGGCGCUAGGUGUGGGCGACAUUCCACGUUGUCCGUGCCGUAGCUAACGCAUUAAGCGCCCGCCUGGG